rnacentral:lncRNA from 1 species
UGUUAUAUCCAUUAUAUAAGAGGACCAAGCUUCUCCGUAAACACAUCAUCACGCAGCAACAAUCCUCUCUCUCUCUCUCUAUCUCCCAAUCAUAUUAACACAAACAAGUAUGGAGCACAACAAGGUUGAUAUAGAGCUUCAAGAUUCAUACGAUGAUCAACAAAAAUGGGUUCUUGAUUCUUNNNNNNNNNNCUUCAAGAUUCAUACGAUGAUCAACAAAAAUGGGUUCUUGAUUCUUCUACCGAUAGCAGAGGAGAGAUUCCUCUUCGGGCUAGAACCGGAGCUUGGAGAGCUGCACUCUUU